rnacentral:ncRNA from 1 species
UAAAAAUCAAUGAAAGAGCAGAGUAGAUGUUCAGUUUAACUUUCAAGAGAGAGCUACCUUGGCUGGAAGUAGCUUAAGUUGUGACAUUGAAGAACAAUCUGGAGAUGGAUAGUGAAAAGCUAUUCCGUGGGCGAGCGUUAAUCGCAAGUUGAGAGAGUCGAGAUAGAAUUGGUUAUCUUUGACUUUGAAUUUAGGUGGCACCACGAUUGAUUCGUCCUUGUA